UCAAGAACAUUUGGCAAUGGGCGAAAGCCUGACCACGCGACGCCGCGUGAUGGACGAAGUCCUUCGGGACGUAAACAUCUUUUAUGCGUGAAGAAGUAAUUGACAUUAGCGCACGAAUAAGGGGCUCCUAACUCUGUGCCAGCAGGAGCGGUAAUACAGAGGCCCCAAGCAUUAUCCGGAAUCACUGGGCGUAAAGGGUGUGUAGGCGGUCGUGUUAGUCUAUCGUUAAAGCACUUGGGCUUAACCCAGGUAAUGCGAUAGAAACGGCACGACUCGAGGACGCGAGAGGUAGAGGGAACUCAUGGUGUAGGGGUGAAAUCCGUUGAUAUCAUGGGGAACACCAAAUGCGAAGGCACUCUACUGGCGCGCUCCUGACGCUGAAACACGAAAGCGUGGGAAUCGAACGGGAUUAGAUACCCCCGUAGUCC
rnacentral:rRNA from 1 species